CAGCCACUGAAUUGUUUCCUCUCAGUGUGAUUCCUGUGUAUAAUUGUCUGUUGCUUUUGGCAUGGUGCAGACUUCGUUUUAUAAAUAGCUACUUUCUGUUCUGAAUUGCUAACAGCAUGUGGUAUUUUUAGUGCUGGAUUAGGUGUUUGGUGGCCCAUGAGGAUUUGAUUACCAGGUUUAUCGGGCUCAAAGCGAGGUGAUCAGUCUGAAAAUUGACCCCGUAAAUCUCCACACAGCACAAGACCUUAUCACCUCAUCAAGAGACGUUAUUUUGACUGUGCAGUUGUUAAAUUGUCCGUACAGUUUAGCAGCCUCAGCCUCACUGCUCACAGAUAAAAGGGAGAUGUGCAAAAGUCGGUGGCUGCCCCACCCUAUCUUUUGUCCACAAAAAAAGGUAAUUGCACUGAACAUACUCGUUUAUUUAACUGGGAAUAUUCCCUGCUUGUU
ensembl:lncRNA